rnacentral:pre_miRNA from 1 species
AGCUUUCUGUAUCCAUGCUGAGAUUUCGUCACAUACCAGACCACAAGGGCUGAUGAGACUCAUAUCAUUCAUUCU